rnacentral:rRNA from 1 species
CUGCAUGGCUGUCGUCAGCUCGUGCUGUGAAGUGUGGGUUAAGUCCCGCAACGAGCGCAACCCUAUCAUCUGCUGCCAGCAUUAAGGUGGGGACUUAGAUGAGACUGCCGGUGACAAACCGGAGGAAGGUGGGGACGACGUCAAGUCAUCAUGGCCCUUAUGUCCUGGGCUACACACGUGCUACAAUGGCCGGUACAGAGUGAAGCGAAACCGCGAGGUGAAGCAAAACGACAGAAAAGCCGGUCUCAGUACGGAUUGGAGUCUGAAACUCGACUUCAUGAAGUUGGAAUCGCUAGUAAUCGCGCAUCAGCAUGGCGCGGUGAAUACGUUCCCGGGCCUU